rnacentral:rRNA from 1 species
GAUGAACGCUGGCGGCGUGCCUAAUACAUGCCAGUCGAGCGAACGGACGAGAAGCUUGCUUCUCUGAUGUUAGCGGCGGACGGGUGAGUAACACGUGGAUAACCUACCUAUAAGACUGGGAUAACUUCGGGAAACCGGAGCUAAUACCGGAUAAUAUUUUGAACCGCAUGGUUCAAAAGUGAAAGACGGUCUUGCUGUCACUUAUAGAUGGAUCCGCGCUGCAUUAGCUAGUUGGUAAGGUAACGGCUUACCAAGGCAACGAUGCAUAGCCGACCUGAGAGGGGGAUCGGCCACACCGGAACUGAGACACGGGCCAGCCCCCGACGGGGGGCAGCGGUAGGGAAUCUUCCGCAAUGGGGGAAAGCCUGACGGAGCAACGCCGCGGGGGGGAUGAAGGUCUUCGGAUCGUAAAACGCUGUUAUUAGGGAAGAACAUAUGUGUAAGUAACUGGGCAAAUCUUGACGGUACCAAAACAGAAAGCCCCGGCUAACUACGU